CCCUUAGAUGUCCUGGGCCGCACGCGCGCUACACUGACGGAGCCAGCGAGCUUACCCCUUUGCCGAAAGGCAUGGGAAAUCUUUUGAAUCUCCGUCGUGCUGGGGAUAGAUCAUUGCAAUUAUUGAUCUUGAACGAGGAAUUCCUAGUAAGCGCAAGUCAUCAACUUGCGUUGAUUACGUCCCUGCCCUUUGUACACACCGCCCGUCGCUACUACCGAUUGAAUGGUUUAGUGAGAUCUUCGGAUUGGCGCCACUGCGGCUCAGCAAUGGGCUCGGUGGAUGCCGAAAAGUUGAUCAAACUUGAUCAUUUAGAGGAAGUAAAAGUCGUAACA
rnacentral:rRNA from 1 species